rnacentral:rRNA from 1 species
AUGCUGCUGGUACCUUCCGAAGUUGCUUCCCUGCUGCGUGAUGAGCCGGAAAUCGCUCCUGUCAUGAACCGAAUUGAGCAGUACAAUGGCCGUUUUGCUGGAGUACCUCACAGUAUGAUUCAGUCACACCUAACUAGUAGGGUACAAUGCCGCGGCUUCGACAUCUCCGUUCCCCACCAGGCCAACUGCUCCCACUGGUUCUGCGGACAUUGCGUCGUGGCGGUGUGGCUGCAUGGAUCUGUCCUUCGGCCAUCGGAUUGCUAUGUUUCUUGCCGCCCCAUAAUUCUGCUGGUACUUUCUGAAGUUGCUUCCCUGCUGUGUGAUGAACCAGAAAUCGCUCCUGUCGUGAACUGGAUCGAGCAGUACACUCCUGUCGUGAACUGGAUCGAGCAGUACACUCCUGUCGUGAACUUGAUCGAGCAGUACAAUGGCCAUUUUGCUGGAGUUACUCACAGUAUGAUUCAGGCAUACCUGCCAUGUCUUCUGGAUAAACGCUUCUACAUUAUUGAGUGCCUUGCUGUCUGGAUUACAUCGGUGGAAAUGGCGUAA